AUGGUAACGGCCAUUGCGUCCACACUUGAAGCACAUCAGCUCAGCCGAAGACUGGCCGGAGCCCCCGCGCCCACCAGCAGGUGCCUCUCUCACUUGGCGGAACUGGCCCCCCUCGCCAUCACGAGCACGACGGUCACCACCACCGGCCAAGGCGCUGCCCCCAUAAUCCUGGCCAAAGGAGCAUGGCUGGCCCGGAGUAGGAGGAAUCCCUGGCGGCGGAGGAGGCAGCCCGCAGGGCGAGUCAUGGCCACGGGACGACGAGCCGUCGCGGCGACCGACUGCCCCUCUCCACUGCAGCGCCUAGCCCAUCCCUAG
rnacentral:rRNA from 1 species